UACGGAGGAGGCAAGCGUUAUCCGGAAUUAUUGGGCGUAAAGCGUCCGCAGGUGGCACUUCAAGUCUGUCAUCAAAGACUGGGGCUUAACCCUGGAAAGGCGGUGGAAACUGAAGCGCUAGAGUGCGGUAGGGGUAGAGGGAAUUCCCGGUGUAGCGGUGAAAUGCGUAGAGAUCGGGAAGAACAUCGGUGGCGAAAGCGCUCUACUGGACCGCAACUGACACUCAGGGACGAAAGCGUGGGGAGCAAACAGG
rnacentral:rRNA from 1 species